UGCAAUAUUAGAAGGCAAGAACAUAAAAUAUGAAUGCAAUAUUACAAUGCAUGAGCAUAUAAUACAACCAUGUCAUCAAAUACUACAGUACUGGCACUGAUGAGUAACUUCCUGAAUGAUGAGAUAGAAGCCUUAUCAGCAAUAUAUGGUACAGAUUUCCAUACUGAGAGUGCAGAACAUAGGACAUAUAGCAUUGAUAUUGCAGAAGGGGUCAACACAGCUCUUUUACAGGUGACCAUGCCUCCGGAAUAUCCAGGGGAAUCCCCUCCCAUGUACAUGCUCAGUGCCCCGUGGUUGAAGGGAAUGAAACGACAGGAGCUGUGUGGAUACCUGGAAGAAAUAUAUUUAGAAAAUGCUGGAGAAAGUAUUGCCUAUAUGUGGGUGGAGAAAAUACGAGAAUUCAUGACAGAACAAGCUGCACAAGAACUUGUGGUUGAAGAGAAGACUUCAAUCACUGAUGCUGUUGACAAACUGAAGUUGAGUUCUGAAGAGGAAGUGCAGUGUCCUGAGAUAUUUUCUGGGGACAUUAUCAGUGAUCGUAAGAGCCACUUCCAGCCUCAUCUUGCUGCAGUUAGGUCCACAGCAGAAGUGAAUGCUGUAUUAAGAAAACUGUACCAGAAUAAGAAGGUGGCCAAUGCCACACACAACAUGUAUGCUUACCGAUUCACCCCUGAAGGCUCUUCUAACCUACAUCAAGAUUGUGAAGACGAUGGUGAGGACCAUGCUGGUGGACGGAUGCUUCACCUUCUUCAAUUCAUAAGAUGUUGAGAAAGGACUUUCUAAUAAGAUGUUAUUUUAUCAGGCUAACAUAAAAGUCAGUGAAGGCUAAGCAAAUGUUAUCAGAUUGUAGAUGCCCAGAAUGUCUUGGUUGUGGUCUCAAGAUGGUUUGGGGGCAUCCUUCUGGGGCCUGACAGAUUCAAGCAUAUAAACAAUGCUACAAGGCAGAUACUUGAAAACUGUGGAUAUAUAAAGCAUCACGAAAGCACUAAAAGAAAUAAAAAGACAAAGUAG
rnacentral:misc_RNA from 1 species